GAUGAACGCUAGCGGCAGGCUUAAUACAUGCAAGUCGAGGGGCAGCACAGGUAGCAAUACCGGGUGGCGACCGGCAAACGGGUGCGGAACACGUACGCAACCUUCCCGGAACAGGGUGAAUAGCCCUGCGAAAGUAGGAUUAAUACACCGUAUGAUAUUUUGGUGGCAUCACUUUAAUAUUAAAGGUAGCAAUACCGGUUCUGGAUGGGCGUGCGCCUGAUUAGGUAGUUGGUGCGGGUAAUGGCCCACCAAGCCUUCGAUCAGUAACUGGUGUGAGAGCACGACCAGUCACACGGGCACUGAGACACGGGCCCGAC
rnacentral:rRNA from 1 species